rnacentral:rRNA from 1 species
GCAGAGAUUUAACCUCGUACCUUUUGCAUCAUGAUUUAGCUAGGACCUUCAAGCAAAAAGAACUUGUAGUUUGGAACCCCGAAACUGAGUGAGCUACUCCAAGACAGCCUAUUUAUAGGGCAAACCCGUCUCUGUGGCAAAAGAGUGGGAAGAGCUUCGAGUAGGGGUGACAGACCUACCGAACUCAGUUAUAGCUGGUUGCUUGUGAACUGGAUAGGAGUUCAGCCCCCUAGAUUCCCAACAAACUAGGGGUGUUAGUCAAAGGGGGUACAGCUCCCUUGAAAAAAGACACAACUUUACCAGGAGGAUAGAGAUCAUACUUAAUAAGGAUAGAUGUUCUAGUGGGCCUAAAAGCAGCCACCCUUACAAAAAGCGUUGAAGCUUGAACUUAAUAUACCGAUAAACCCUUCUUAAUCCCCUAAAUUUAACAAGCUGUCCUAUGCUUUUCAUAGGAACAAUUAUGCUAAUAUGCGUAAUAAGAGAAGAUUCUCUCCUCGCACACGUGUAAAUCGGAACGGACCACCCACCGAAUACUAACGGCCCCAAUCUAAGAGGGUAUUGGAAAAUGACCAGAAAAACAUCCCCCGUUAACCCCACACUGGUGUGCCCCAGAGGAAAGACUAAAGGGGAGAGAAGGAACUCGGCAAACAAGCCUCGCCUGUUUACCAAAAACAUCGCCUCUUGCCAGUAUAAGAGGUCCCGCCUGCCCAGUGACAAUCUAGUUCAACGGCCGCGGUAUUUUGACCGUGCAAAGGUAGCGUAAUCACUUGUCUUUUAAAUGAAGACCCGUAUGAAUGGCAUGACGAGGGCUUAACUGUCUCCUUUCCCAAGUCAGUGAAAUUGACCUCCCCGUGCAGAGGCGGGGAUACACCCAUAAGACGAGAAGACCCUAUGGAGCUUUAGACAUAAGGACAUACUAUGUUAAAUACACCCUGUUAAGGGCUUGAACCAUAUAGAAUCUGCCCCACUGUCUUCGGUUGGGGCGACCAUGGGGAACACAAAACCCCCACGCGGAAGGGGAGCACUCCCACAAACCAGGGCGACAGCCCUAAUCAGCAGAAAUUCUGACCUAAGUGAUCCGGUAAUACCGAUCAACGAACCAAGUUACCCUAGGGAUAACAGCGCAAUCCCCUUCUAGAGCCCGUAUCGACAAGGGGGUUUACGACCUCGAUGUUGGAUCAGGACAUCCUAAUGGUGCAG